UACGGGGGGGGCAAGCGUUGUUCGGAAUCACUGGGCGUAAAGGGCGCGUAGGCGGCUCGGUAAGUAGGGGGUGAAAUCCUACGGCUUAACCGCAGGGCUGCCUUCUAAACUGUCGAGCUUGAGCACGGUAGAGGCAGAUGGAAUUCCCGGUGUAGCGGUGGAAUGCGUAGAGAUCGGGAAGAACAUCAGUGGCGAAGGCGGUCUGCUGGGCCGUUGCUGACGCUGAGGCGCGACAGCGUGGGGAGCAAACAGG
rnacentral:rRNA from 1 species